UAGUGCCCCUUUUUUUCUGAAUUCCUAGAAUAGCAUUUUGUUUUUGUUUGUUUUUGGAGACAGGAUUUCUUCGUGUAACAACAGCCCCUGACUGUUAUGGAACUCUCUCUGUAUACCAGGCUGGCCUCAAACUCACGGAGAUCCUCUUGCCUCUGGCUCCAAGUGCUGGGAUUAAGGCAUGAGCUACCACCACCAGGUCAGGAAUAGUAUUUUAGGAUGAAAAGAAAAAAAUAGAGAGGCUUACUAGAUUUCAGACAGAAUUUUACCAAAAAGUUGUCAAUAUUUUUCUCCAACAAUACUGAUAUGAUUAUAACCAAGGAUGACUAAUGGUUGAAGACCAUCCUGUUGAAACUGUCCCAUGAUGAACAAGUAUGGGGACUUCUAUAGAGACUUCCUUGUUUUGUAUUUAAUGGUACACUUGAGUUUUUAUGGUCAUAGUAGAAUGGGUUAAGUUAUCAAGAGAUGGGAAUACAGUUUAGCUGCUGGUUGAAGUAUUUAUAUUGCUUUCUAGGAAGUUGGUACCAAAGAAAUGGAAGUAAAUGCACUGAAUAAAAACCAAGAAUGCUCUUUUGAAGUAUUUUGAAGUAUUUGACCGAUUAUAGAAGCAGCCUCCCAGGAAAGAAGGUAAGAACGCAUUUUAAAACUUUUCUUUUACCAUCAUAUCAAUUCAUUCAUCAGGGGAUCAUGAAAUGUGACUGCAAAUGUUUCCCAGCUGCUGAAUAGAAAGAAUGUAUGUUGGAGAAAAAAAAAAAACACUUUUGUUUGGUACAUACAUUUAGCUUUGUACUUAUAGUAUAAAAGAAAAUAAACAAAUGGGGUCUGAGAGUAUCUCUUCUGCUAUCUAUUAUAUUAAAUAAAAAGUAAAAAUAAAAAUACAGUCAAAGUGAAAAUGCUAUUUAAGAAAAAAUUAGCAUUGUUUACUGUCAGUUCUGUCUUUGUUUAUUUGGGGUUCUAAGCAGAUUAAUCUGGAUCAUCUUUUUUAAAAUGAAUGUUUAUUAGUAAUAGUUGUAUGUGAGGGACACAGGUAUAUGUACAGGUAAAAGGAUAACUCUCUCUUUCUACCUUGACUCAUGUGAGCAUACAUGGGUAGAGCUUUACUCACUGAGCCAUCUGGUUGACCCUAGGUAAUCUCUAGAGUCUUUCAACUCAUUAGUUUAUUUUAAUAUAAAUUCAACUUUUCUUUUUGUCUUUAUGCCAUUCCUCAUGUAAUACUUUGAUGUUAUUUACUUAUUACUAUCUCUGGCACCUCAUAUUCUCCAUUUCUGAUAAUAUUAAGAAUACUAUCUUUUGCACUUCUAAGAAGGCUUAAGGUGGCAAGUAACCUUUCUGAGUUUAAGCAGGCCAUGAUAUGUUUCUUCCUGUCUAUGACAUGUUCUCUUGUCUAUCUCCAAUAAAUGUGAAUGAUCUCACUUCCUGCUUUCACAGCUGAGAAGGAGUCACACAAUUCAAAGGAAAAUCAGUUUCCAGUUCUCCGUACUGACAUCAGUAAUUCCCUGCCUCUUUGAGAAUUGGCAGUCGAGGUGUAAGAUUAGUGUUGCUCUCAACCUUGACCAGAGAAACUUUGUUUGAAGUGGGCAGUGGUUUAUGCAGAGACUCACAAUUGAUCAACAUGUAAAAAUAGGUGACUGCUGAGUGCUCAGCCCUACAUGGGACAUCUAUAUACUCCUCUAUUAUAAAGCUCAGGGGACAACUGUAAGAACCUGAAGUUGAGGAUGAUUGCUGUGAGAUGGUGUCAUCUACACAUAAUCUGGAUGUUGCACUCAUGAACUCACUAGAGCUGAAGUUAUAAGCACAAGAACUGUCCAAAACUGAGCCCACCAGCAUUCCAGGAUGGAAGGAAAAGGACACACGAAGCCCCACUCCUAGCUGAGAGACAAAAUAAAGACCAGAGCACUAUGUGUGGGAAUAGAUUCCAAGAAUGCUAGAACAAAUGUGGAAGAAUAUAAACAUUGAUCAAAGUAAUUUAUUUUAAAAGGAAGAAGAGAUCCCAGGGGAGCAAUAUGAAUGGCUGCCUUUCCUUUAAGUUGUGAUGCAUUGAACAACACUGGUGCUUUGUUCCAAGUGCCUGACAUAAGCAUAGGCAUGAUUCAGAAGCAGAAGAUGCUACACUUUGCAUGGCUUACAGUAACUCAAAACGUGAUAAGCAUCCACCCUGGGCCAGAUCAUCUGCUCAGUGAAUUUCAGAAGUGGAGUCCAUUGUAACAGAUGUCAAAGGAGGCCUGGGGAAGAAACGUGCUGUGGUAUGGUUUCAAUUUGAACUUAAAAUACUUAAAAUGCUCCCCAGCGACAUGUGAUUCUCUGCUCUGUAUGCUGUCUACUGUAGAAAUGCCCAUCAGACAGAAAACAAAUUGAGAUAGGCUAAAUAGAGGGUGGUGGUGAGGACUGUAUGAAGAGGGACAGAAGCAGGGUAUAAACACCUCCUAGGAUCAACACUAUUUCAUGAUUAGUGUCAAGAGGUAGUCAACUGACUUCUCCAUGUUCUAUUCAGGGAAAUUGUGGACUUGACAUUUACUAAGUGCUAGUGGGAAGAUGCAGAGUUAGAGAGAGAAUAGCCCAGUGGGUAGAGAUGGAAAACAAGUUGAUCAGGACUGCAGAAUUUGCCAUUGGGUAUCUAAACAAUCUCAAUAGCUAACCAAGAUGGCUGAUAGAGUAAAGCACUUGCCAUGCAAGCAUGAAGACAUGAAUUCUGGUCCCUAGAAUCACAUAAAAGCUGAACACAGCAGCACUUGUAGUUAGAAUCCUAGCUCCCAUCAGGAUAUGAAAGGAGGCAGAGAAAGGAGAAUCUUAGAAGCUUAUAGGCCAGCUGCCCUGGCCUGUGCAGUGUGGAACAGGAAGAGAGACUCUGUCUUCCUCAAGGUAGAAGGUGAGACAUACAUACUAUGGGGUGCUCAUGAUCCCCCACACAUAAAGUUAUACAAGACUAGCUAUGAUCAGUUUCUCAAAGUUCCAGAGAACCAAUUACAUCAGCUGUUCUGUAGCACCCACCAUUGAAGAUUCAGAGAAGAGCAGGAGGGGCAAGGUCCAUUUCCACCUGUCUCCUCACUACCUCAUGUAACCUUAGUUUUACCUCUUCCAUAUAGCCAGUGAUCAAAUGGGAAAGUCAGAACAAGGAGAGUCCAAGACUUAUUUAUUCCGAAAAGAAGAUAGAUGCCAUCUUAUUGGAAAUUAUUUAAAUAGGACACACUGGCAAGUGCCACUUUUCAUUGUUCAUUGAAAAACAUAUCAGAACAAUCAUAUGAAAUAAUCAAAGCUAAGUUUCUUUGGAGAAUUAAAUGUAGCAUGCAUAAAGUUGUGACUUGAUUAUAUAUAAAUGUAAAACAAUAUCUCCAAACUGGUCAGCAGUUAUCUGUAUUAUCAGCAGGAGGUGUACUUGGUUUAUAACUUAGCUGAGUUUUUCUGCAAUUUUCUUCUGGUGAGAGGCUGUGAAGCAGGCUGUGACUGCCAACCUCGACUCUGGAGAGCAGGCAUUAACUAGUGAUAGACAAAGAAUGAAGCAAACACUUUAGAUGUUUGGAUGUGCAUGAGCUCAUUGCAAAAUGAGGUAUUCUUAGACUAUCAGUAAUAUGAGGGUCAGCUGCUUUUUAUGAGAUGGAAGGCCCAUGGAUCUAGGGCUAGGAGGGGAUCUAUGCCAUGCAGUCUGGUGAAACAAAUGGUCUUUAAUAAGAGAGGAAGUCAUGGGUGUCUAGACUUUAACAACACAGGCAUAGAGUCAUUCCAAAAAAAAGAGUUCAACAUUCUGUUUGUUUUUAUCCCUUUGUUCUUAAUGACAAAGAAAGAAGGACAGAAGCACAGAGAUUUCUCACAUCAACAGAGCAGGGGCUGUAUCCUCGAAAUAGGAAAGGUCUGCUUAGGUUUGUCUGUAUUGUUGUAGGCUUCAGAAGUUUCUCUGUAGUAGUUUUCACCACACACCCCACCUGGAGUCCCAUCUCUAUUGACAGGACUUUUGACAUGUCCACAGACAGGAUCCUCUUUUCUGACAAUCAUGACAUGCAUAAAGAG